rnacentral:rRNA from 9 species
AAAUUGAAGAGUUUGAUCAUGGCUCAGAUUGAACGCUGGCGGCAGGCCUAACACAUGCAAGUCGAACGGUAACAGGAAGCAGCUUGCUGCUUUGCUGACGAGUGGCGGACGGGUGAGUAAUGUCUGGGAAACUGCCUGAUGGAGGGGGAUAACUACUGGAAACGGUGGCUAAUACCGCAUAACGUCGCAAGACCAAAGAGGGGGACCUUCGGGCCUCUUGCCAUCAGAUGUGCCCAGAUGGGAUUAGCUUGUUGGUGAGGUAACGGCUCACCAAGGCGACGAUCCCUAGCUGGUCUGAGAGGAUGACCAGCCACACUGGAACUGAGACACGGUCCAGACUCCUACGGGAGGCAGCAGUGGGGAAUAUUGCACAAUGGGCGCAAGCCUGAUGCAGCCAUGCCGCGUGUAUGAAGAAGGCCUUCGGGUUGUAAAGUACUUUCAGCGGGGAGGAAGGUGUUGCGGUUAAUAACCGCAGCAAUUGACGUUACCCGCAGAAGAAGCACCGGCUAACUCCGUGCCAGCAGCCGCGGUAAUACGGAGGGUGCAAGCGUUAAUCGGAAUUACUGGGCGUAAAGCGCACGCAGGCGGUCUGUCAAGUCGGAUGUGAAAUCCCCGGGCUCAACCUGGGAACUGCAUUCGAAACUGGCAGGCUUGAGUCUUGUAGAGGGGGGUAGAAUUCCAGGUGUAGCGGUGAAAUGCGUAGAGAUCUGGAGGAAUACCGGUGGCGAAGGCGGCCCCCUGGACAAAGACUGACGCUCAGGUGCGAAAGCGUGGGGAGCAAACAGGAUUAGAUACCCUGGUAGUCCACGCCGUAAACGAUGUCUACUUGGAGGUUGUGCCCUUGAGGCGUGGCUUCCGGAGCUAACGCGUUAAGUAGACCGCCUGGGGAGUACGGCCGCAAGGUUAAAACUCAAAUGAAUUGACGGGGGCCCGCACAAGCGGUGGAGCAUGUGGUUUAAUUCGAUGCAACGCGAAGAACCUUACCUGGUCUUGACAUCCACAGAACUUUCCAGAGAUGGAUUGGUGCCUUCGGGAACUGUGAGACAGGUGCUGCAUGGCUGUCGUCAGCUCGUGUUGUGAAAUGUUGGGUUAAGUCCCGCAACGAGCGCAACCCUUAUCCUUUGUUGCCAGCGGUCCGGCCGGGAACUCAAAGGAGACUGCCAGUGAUAAACUGGAGGAAGGUGGGGAUGACGUCAAGUCAUCAUGGCCCUUACGACCAGGGCUACACACGUGCUACAAUGGCGCAUACAAAGAGAAGCGACCUCGCGAGAGCAAGCGGACCUCAUAAAGUGCGUCGUAGUCCGGAUUGGAGUCUGCAACUCGACUCCAUGAAGUCGGAAUCGCUAGUAAUCGUGGAUCAGAAUGCCACGGUGAAUACGUUCCCGGGCCUUGUACACACCGCCCGUCACACCAUGGGAGUGGGUUGCAAAAGAAGUAGGUAGCUUAACCUUCGGGAGGGCGCUUACCACUUUGUGAUUCAUGACUGGGGUGAAGUCGUAACAAGGUAACCGUAGGGGAACCUGCGGUUGGAUCACCUCCUUA